rnacentral:tRNA from 1 species
GGCGGCAUAGCUCAGUUGGUAGAGCGUCCGGUUCAUACCCGGUAGGUCAUCUGUUCAAGUCAGAUUGCCGCUACCA